GCACUCGCUUCAGCAGCACAUAUACUAAAAUUGGAAUGAUAUAGAGAAGAUUAGCAUAACCCCUGUGCAAGGAUGACAGAAAAUUCAUGACAUAUUCCAUGUUUUU
rnacentral:snRNA from 1 species